rnacentral:rRNA from 1 species
AUUGAACGCUGGCGGCAUGCCUUACACAUGCAAGUCGAACGGCAGCGCGGACUUCGGUCUGGCGGCGAGUGGCGAACGGGUGAGUAAUACAUCGGAACGUACCCUGUUGUGGGGAUUAACAGGCCGAAGGAUAACCUAUUCCGCAAACGGCCCUGAGGUUGAAGGGGGGGGCCCCAAAGCCCUCACCCGGCGGGCGCGCCCGAGGUCUGAUUAGCUAGUUGGUGGGGUAAAGGCCCACCAAGGCGACGAUCAGUAGCUAGUCUGAGAGGACGAUCAGCCACACUGGGACUGAGACACGGCCCAGACUCCUACGGGAGGCAGCAGUGGGGAAUUUUGGACAAUGGGGGCAACCCUGAUCCAGCAAUGCCGCGUGUGUGAAGAAGGCCUUCGGGUUGUAAAGCACUUUUGUCCGGAAAGAAAUCGCGCUGGUUAAUACCUGGCGUGGAUGACGGUACCGGAAGAAUAAGCACCGGCUAACUACGUG